AUGGAAAGUAGACAACAAUGGCUUACCAGGCUGAAAAAUGAACUUAGCAACAGUCCUCUUGUGUCAAAUGUGGCUUUUGGGUUUAUCCUCAUGGGACUAGAGAAGCUGGUGGAGCUGGAGUUUGAGUGUCCUUGCAGUCCUACAUGGAACGGACUGUUUUCCUCAGCAUUCUUCAUCAUUCCCGCCGUCAUGGCCUUCACCUUGAUGUUGAUCAUUCAAGGAUGCAGAUGUGAUGAGUGGUGCAGGAAGACUGUGUCCCUGUCCAGUUUCGUGCCUGCUAUCGUGUGGCUGAUCUUGUUGUUCCUCGACGGCCAGUACUUCGCCUGUGCUAUGACAGACUGGGAGGGUAGAUUUGUACUCGUUGACAAGGCAGCUCCACAGAAGUGGUGUGAGCCAAUUAGUGAAGGAGAUGUCACCCCACAAGAGCUGAUGCUCCGCUCACAACAGCUGUUUGUUUUUUCUCAGGUUAUAGGCAUAAUCCUCCUCAUCUUCAUCUGUGUGGGUCUCAUAGUGUAUGUAAUCAGAGAAAGUUGCCAACAGGAGGUGGAGAUGGAGGAUGCAGAUGUAGCAGAGCUCACCGUGCUCAGGAUGAGCUCUCUACGGACCAGGACCUCCUGAGAGAGACCACGUACACCGCCCACCACACCUACUGUGCUGAAACGCACACUUUGUAAAUAUCUCUCUGAGACUUUUCAGCGAGUAUGUGAUCAGUAUCAUGGGCUCGUUUCUCAUUAUAUGGCUUCACUUUUCUUUCAGAAUCAGUUUAUUUUGUUGAGCAGAAUCCUGUUGACAUCAGCAACAUCCCACUAAAAACAAGAGAUCACCAGAAAUCUUCAUCCCAUCAAUCAAAAAGGACACAUUUAAUUGUUUAAUUUGUUUUUUAUUUAACUUUCCAUGAUUUUCCUCUUCCUUAGUUUUAGCUUAACUGACACAGGUGGUAAUGACCAGGCAGCUAAUAUCAAUCUGAUGUAUAAUGUUGAUUCACUUAUAUUUGUUUGAGUGGUUGUUAAUGACUAAAUGUGUAAUUUCACUUUAAAUAUCUUUGUUUUUCCACAUGACCGCGUUAUCAGACUGAUAUCCAGCCAGUCCCACCCUGCUGAUCAACAGUAACUCAGAUCAAACCAGAUUAAUGAUUCAUCAUCAGGAUCAACACGUUGUAGAUAUAUAUUCUGUAACAAAUUGUGUUUUUUUUUGUAAUUGUUUUCUAAUAAAAGUAUUUAUUGAAGUAAAACCCUCAGCAAUUGUCUCAAUCUUAAAAUAAUCCUCCUUCUUCUGCUUCUUUCGUAUGAAAUGGGGACAGAUUCUGUAGGAUGAUCCUGUGGGAGGGUUUAUGCAAGACUUACUGAUGACUGAGGAAGUUGUCUUUAGCCACUGAUUUACUCUCUUUCCAUCUCUCUUCAUCUCUCUCGCUGACACACAUGCACAUUUUUACUCUAAUACUCAUUUUUACUUAGUCCAGCACAUCCUGUGUAAUUCUGUACCUUAAAUACUGUGGAAAUGCAUUGACUGGGUGACAUUUAUGGUUUAUUUAACCAGCUGGGUCCUGAUUUUAUUUUCGAUGAAUUUAUGAUUUCUAAUCAAGUUAUAAAAAAGUGUAUUUAGUGUGAUUACAAGAAUACAAGAAUCAUACAAUAUAUGAAAUUUGCUACAACAUAAUGAUUUUCAAAGUGUGAUUUUUAAGUUCUGAUAGAAUCAAUACUGAAUGAAUGUCCUUUUUUUUAAAUCACGCUUCAAUUUUGCUCUCACUCAUCUAGAACACAAGCAUCGUACUAGAGCAGCAAAGGUCAUGAAAAUGAGCAGCGUGAUUCCAGCUAAGAAGAGCAUCACGUCUACAGAGUGAUAGGAAUACCAGGGCAGCCUGUAGGACUCAGUCCUCAGGUGAGCUGCACCUUUGUGUCUCAUGACAAACUCUAUCCAGAAGAGGGCGCUGUCCAUCGGCUUCAUCGGCGCGUCUCUGUGCAGGCAACCCGAGGUGGGGAGCCAGCAGGACCCCUCCUCCGUCAGCAGGAUCUGUCACAACUAGGUCAAAUUUGGAAGCUUGGAAGGAUUCCAUCAACUCUUUACUCUCAAAAGUGUAUAAUCACUUCACAUGUUUUCCUGUGCAAUUCAUAGAAGCUGUAUUUCAAUCUUGACAACUUGUUAUGGUGAAAUGUGUCGUUUUCCCUGACAGCAACGUUGAGUGUGAUGGUCUAGUAAUGUAGAGAUGUUUGGCUGAUGUACCAGCUGUCCGCAGCCUGGAUCACCAUCACCUUGUGCAGCUCCUCAACCAGGACCCUCAUGUUCACCCAGUGGAUUCCUACGUGUGGAAAACCAAAACGUUACCACCGAGUAUUGUUGAAAUUAUGGCAGUGGGAAGGCAGAUUACGGUUGCAAAGAGCAAAAACUUUACGAAAUCUUCCAUGCAGAAAUUCAAACAAAGCAAAAACUAGAACAUAUUCCAGGAAAGACUUUGCAGAAGUGAAGCAAUAAAGAGAGGUGGUUGAAACAGGGUUUCAGGAAUUAAACUUUCUGUAGUCUCUCCACUUUUGUUUGACUGUUCUCACAUGUACACAGCACAUGGAGCCUCUCCCAGUAAAUAACACACUGGUGACACUGGAGAUUAACUAGAAGUGGGAGAUUCUGAUGAUAUAUAAGUUGGAGACAUUAUUUUCCUUGUAUUGUCAUAAAGACUGACUGGGCAGAAAUAAUUCACCCCUUAUGUUCAAGAGAGAUGCUUAAUAAUUUGCAAGGCGCUUUUA
ensembl:lncRNA